rnacentral:misc_RNA from 1 species
AUCAUUAAGAUAAAUAGAGAGAGAAAAGAGAUAUGAACUUAUAUGCAGUGUGUGUAUAUCGUGGGGAAUAAAGUCAUUUAUUUCGUAUAUCUUGGACGGUGCAGUGCGCGAAAAGUGCGAGAGAGCAAAUCGUGUCGUUUCUCUCUCUCUCCCUCUCUUCUUCUUUUUCUCUUUCUCUUUCUUUUUCUUUCUUUCUUUCUUUUAUUCGCGCUCGCGCGUGACUGUGUGUGGCGGGUAUCGCGUAAAAACGAGAAACGGGAAGAGAGACUGUGAUACAGGAAUACUGACUGCAUAGUAGUGAAAAGGAGAAAGAAGAAAGAAAAGAGAAAGGUCAAAGAAGAAGAAGAAGAAGAAGAAGAAGAAGAAGAAGAAGAAGAAGAAAAAGAAGGAAUCGUGGGGUGUGCUGAUGCUAAGUUAGGGAAAGGGGGUGGGGUAGGAAUGGACAACCGAACAAGAGAAAAGAGAAAGAUAAUGAAAUAGAAUAAGAUAAAAACGAAAGAUAAAAGGAUAAAAAAAAUCAAAAGAGAAACGAAAUAAUGAACAACGACUAGGACUAGGAAUUUAGGACCCUACGAUUAGGACAACGACGACGACGAAGCAAAGGAAUAAUAAAUCAGUGACAACAAGGAAUAUAUAUACAUAUAUAUACGAUAAACAACGACACGAUUUUACAUGAUAAUAAAGUGCGUGUAUAAUAAUAAUAAUAAUAAUAUUAAUAAUAUUAAUAAUUACGUGCGAUUGUUAAUAAUAUUAUCGCGUGAAAAGGGUUGAAUCCUUACAAAUGACAGGAAGGUGAUCAAUGUGCACGAAAUAUGGCUGAGGAGUUGGUGGUCACCCUGAACCGCGGCGGUGACUCCUCUGGAUUUGGUUUCUCCCUUUUGGCAACGGCGGGACUUCCUCACAUUAUUUACGACAUCGUUGAAAACUCGCCGGCUGCUAAGUGUGGAAAGGUCGAGGCCGGUGACGUAAUACUCAGGGUAAACGAAGUUGAUGUCAACCGAUUUAGUACUAAAGAAGUGCUGAAAUGUCUGCGGCUCUCAUCGGACCCCGUCACCCUGAAGCUAAGAAGGGAUCCCGCGAUAAAGGCGCACGUGCGUCGACUCCUGUCACCCGGGGAUGCAACACACGAGGAGAAUUCAAGCGAAAUUGGGAAAUCAACUCGGGAAGAAUGUUCAAUCGCGCAAAACUCUAGAGACGUGAAAUCUUCAUCGAGUAGUGGUUGUGAAAACGAGGAAUCGAGAAAAUCUGGGUCACCACCGGUAUUAGCAGUGAAUUCACCCCAAAAUCCUCAAGGUGGGGGUCCCACGCAGUAUUCAACCAGAAGCAAUGGUUCCUAUAGCGAUCCUUCGAGUUCGUCAGAAUUGGAGGCCCUUUUACCAUCAAUGGAUAGCUUCAAGGAAGAGGAACGUGCUCAGUGGGAGCCACUUUCUGGUGAAAAGUUUGGUCGUCAGAAGAACACGCCUAGGUUCGAAGCUUAUAUGAUGACCGGAGAUCUCAUGCUGAACCUGUCGCGAACGCAGCAAAGCAGCGGUUUCCUGCCGAAGUACCAGAAGAAAGUCGACUCGCUUAGGUACAACAAUCAUCACUCCCACCAUCACCAUAAUCAUCACAAUCACCACCAUCAUAAGUCGGUACCUACCAGUCCUAACGAGAUGCUGGGCCAUCACCGUGCUUACAAGUGCACUGGCUCGAACUCGGCCAGCACUUCGCCGGUCGGGAUCAGCAAACGCGAGGGCGGCCAAUGCCCGAGCCAGGGCGACUCUAGCAAGCCCAAUGCCGCCGCGAGCAGUUUUGGUUAUUCGAGCGGUUUUGUACGUACCUCGCGCUCCGAGGAUCACUUGCAAUUCCAAAAGGACCCUUCGAUGAGCGCGGUGGACAUAGACAUUGACGAUGACGUCACGUCCAGCCUAAAUACCCUGUUGGACACGCGGCCGGAUAGCGGCCAGGGCCUGUCCAGCGAGAGAAUCGUCUGGACGUACAACGCACCGGUUAGCUCGUCCUCUGCCUCGGAGCGCACCUCCUGCUGCCAAAAUGGCAGCUCCUCUCAAUCUUCAUCCUCGCCCUCGAGUUCCUCGAGCUCCUCGACGGAGGGUACAAGCCCUCAGCGUUCCUUAUCACCUGCCUCUCCGACCUCAGUCUCGUCCUCCGUCAUGUCCUCCAAUUCUGGAUCCCGUAGGUUCCCACCACCGGUACCGACUGCUCCGCCGGCCCUGGUGGGACCCUCGGGCGACGGGACCACCUCCUCGACCUCCGGCCUACAUCCCACCAACGGCGACCUCAGCCAGUCGGAGGCCAUCAGCAACAUGUCCAGUCCGGAUUACAACGACGAGGAGACCAUGGAUAUUCUCAGUGUGCGCGACAUUAUGAUGGUCAGUGAUCCCAGUGACAGUGACUCGACGAUACUCGCGAGCGAACCACCUCAGAGGAGACUCAAGCAGAGCUCGGCAUCGAAUACUAACGCUGCUACGCCUUCUUACGCUCAACAACAACAACAACAACAACAACAGCAACAGCAACAGCAACAACAGGACUCUUCGGCUGAACAUAGGAUAGUAAUACAAGUUAAAGGACCGGACAAGGAUUCUUCUUCGAGAAACUCUAGUCCAAGGCAGACAAGGAGAAGGACGAUUCCUUCUGGGGGUGGNGGUGGUAACGCUUCUUCCGUUGAUCUUUUACCACCAAAUAUUUCGACGGUACAAAAUGCUGCCCAACGAUCCUCGCCUUCGACUCUUACCUCUGGUAACGUUACUCCAGAGUUUGUUGGUUAUCAGGAGCUCAAGGAAAGCGAGGACGAAAGGGAAGCUUACAGUGCUGGAUUCUACGACGAUCAGAAACAUAGCAGUGCUUCCCCACCUCAGUCAGCCGACGAGGAAAGCGAUAUCGAGAGUCUCCAUAGCUUCCAUUACAGUCCAAAAGCGGUUGAUCUACCGUCCGCCGUUCGACUAGCUAAAAGGCUAUUUUCUUUAGAUGGCUUUAAGAAAUCCGAUGUCUCCAGACAUCUUAGUAAAAACAACGACUUUAGUAAAGCGGUAGCCGAGGAGUACUUGAAAUAUUUCAACUUUGAACGAGACACGCUGGACGUGGCUCUCAGAAAGUUCCUUGUGCAGUUCUCUUUAACGGGAGAGACCCAAGAAAGGGAGCGAGUUCUUGUACAUUUCUCUAAGAGGUAUCUUGAUUGUAAUCCCGGCACGUUUCGCUCUCAAGAUGCUGUUCACACAUUAACUUGUGCUAUUAUGUUGCUAAAUACCGAUCUUCAUGGGCAGAAUAUCGGUAGAAAAAUGUCGUGCUCGGAGUUUAUAGAAAAUUUAUCAGAAUUAAACGACGGUGAUAAUUUCCCUAGGGAGGUGCUAAAGCAACUUUACAAUGCUAUCAAAUCAUAUCCCUUGGAUUGGGCUUUGGAUGAUGAAGGUGACGAAACGACUGCUCAGGUUAUCCAACAGGGUGAUGGACCAGCGAUAGCUGGUACUGGAAAUCCAUUUCUCGAUGUGCCAAAUGUUACAGGUGCUACGGAGUUCAAGAAGGGUUACGUUAUGCGCAAAUGUUGUUACGAUUCCAAUGGGAAAAAAACUCCCUUCGGAAAGAGAGGUUGGAAGAUGUAUUAUUGUACAUUGAGAGAGCUUGUAUUAUAUUUACAUAAAGACGAGCAUGGCUUCCGUAACGAUAGUUUGCACAAUGCUAUACGUAUUCAUCAUGCAUUAGCUACAAAAGCAUCGGAUUACACGAAGAAGCAACACGUUUUCAGGCUACAAACUGCCGAUCAAGCGGAAUAUCUUUUCCAAACGAGCGAUUCCAAAGAACUUCAAUCGUGGAUCGACACGAUCAAUUUUGUAUGCGCCAGUUUCUCAUGCCAGCCCCUCGCAGGAGCCGUCGGUUCUCAACGAAAAUUUCAGCGGCCUCUCCUACCAUGCAGUCACACCAAAUUAUCUCCUAGAGAACAGUUACGGGACCACGAGGAUAGAGUUAACAGACUGGAAGCUGAGUUGGACGAACAUAAACGACAUCCUCCGGAAAAAGGAGCUAAAGCUUUAGCCGUACAAAAUUAUAAAGAGAAGGGUGCAUACUUGUAUCACGAGUUAAAAAGGUACAAGACGUAUGCCUACUUGUUACGUUCAAGACUGGCAUUCACAGAAGUUGAACCAUCCCUGGUAGAAAGCAGUAUCGGUGAAGUGGAUGAAGGAAGUGGCGCUUUGUUGAAUGCUGACGUAGCGUUAGUACCUCCUCCAGUUCCUGAUCGACCAGCCAUAAAUAGGGCCGACCCGAUAUCGUCGUAAUCAAGAUCAAGAAAAUGUGCUCAUUAAUUCAACAUGGAGUAUUACACCAAGCGGAGGAAUCAAAAUAUCGAUUGAUUUGAAAAGGAAAAAGAAAAAAGAAAAUAAAAUCACAGAUUGAAAGAAGAAGACGUACUUUUUAGAAAUGAACACAUUACGUAACAUAGAAUCAUUCGUAAUAAUAUUAUUCAUAUUGAAAUACUACUACUACUACUACUAUUACACAACAACAACAACAACAACAACAACCAACAACCAACAAACAUGCACACGCAUAAAAUAUACUAUUUUAUUUAUUUUACAAUUAAGCUUUAUCGAUUCCGAGUAGAGACAUAUGGAGGAAAAUAAAA